rnacentral:rRNA from 1 species
GACGAACGCUGGCGGCGUGCUUAACACAUGCAAGUCGAACGAUGAUCCGGUUUCGGCCGGGGAUUAGUGGCGAACGGGUGAGUAACACGUGGGCAAUCUGCCCUGCACUUCGGGACAAGCCCUGGAAACGGGGUCUAAUACCGUAUAUGACUGCCGGGCGCAUGCUCUGGUGGUGGAAAGCUUCGGCGGUGCAGGAUGAGCCCGCGGCCUAUCAGCUUGUUGGUGGGGUGAUGGCCUACCAAGGCGACGACGGGUAGCCGGCCUGAGAGGGCGACCGGCCACACUGGGACUGAGACACGGCCCAGACUCCUACGGGAGGCAGCAGUGGGGAAUAUUGCACAAUGGGCGGAAGCCUGAUGCAGCGACGCCGCGUGAGGGAUGACGGCCUUCGGGUUGUAAACCUCUUUCAGCAGGGAAGAAGCCUUUAAAGUGACGGUACCUGCAGAAGAAGCACCGGCUAACUACGUGCCAGCAGCCGCAGUAACAC